rfam:Canis lupus familiaris chromosome 30, whole genome shotgun sequence.
GCCUGGGUGGCUCAGUGGUUGAGCAUCUGCCUUUGGCUCAGGGUGUGAUCCCAGGGUCCUGGGAUCGAAUCCCAUAUCGGGCU